rnacentral:tRNA from 2 species
CGCGCGCUGCUGGGGGAGGACGUGGGCGGUGCUAAUGGCACCGACUGACGCGAUCCGGCCCGACCGGACCGGAGGUUCAUCUCGUCCACGUACGC